AGAUGUUGCAGUAGCAGAUGUUAUCCAUCCAGGAUAUUCCUGAGCAACAACAGAGCUUCAGAAUUUCCCCACAAAAAUGAGAAUAUGUACAAAUUAUUCAACGAGUUGUAUCAUUCCAUUUAGAAUCAUGCCAACCUGUCGAAUUCUGCCUGCAGUGGCAAGGCUGACCCUCCUACUGGCCACCUUCUCUAUGUCAUCGAUAUUUAUUAUCUCAAUAAUGAAGGCAUAUAUUGGCAUGGAAGUAAAGUUUCUUAGGGUUCAAGACAAUCACCAUUUUCUUGACGUAGAUGGGGAAGUUAUUCGCCUCCAAGCACCUAACAAUACGAAAGUUUUAAGGCUUCCACUUGAUGAUAACAAGCUCCCAUUGAAACCCAUAGAGCUCAGUAAAGUACACGCUCAAUACAACAAGACUGAAGAGGCCAAAGCUCUUGAUCCUUUAAACAACAAAGGAAACAAUACAGGUAAAGAGACCGGUGCCGCGGAUAACGGAGAGUAAAGUCAAUGAAUACGAGGCACAAACUAUGAACGUCUCUUCAAGCAACAACGUCCAAGGUCAACAGAAAAGCGGCAAGGAGGUGUUGACAUCUACAUUCGUCCCCAUUGAGCCAGACACAUCACCACUGCGUCAUCCACCUGACAUUCCCAAGACUUUCCUCAUCGAAGAGGCUGAUUACUGCUUGAGGCGGCCCAACCUGCAGAUUAUUGCUUACGUCCACUCUUCCAUCUCCCGCGUAAAGGAUCGAAUGGACACCCGGCGUACUUGGGGAAACGCCUCCGCCUACGACAUGGGCCCCAUGAACGUUAGCGUCGGAGUUGUUUUU